rnacentral:rRNA from 1 species
UACGUAGGUGGCAAGCGUUGUCCGGAUUUACUGGGCGUAAAGGGCGCGUAGGCGGUCGGAUCAAGUUUGGCGUGACAGGGUUCGGCUUAACUGAACCAGGCCUUCAAAAACUGGCCGACUUGAGGACUUGAGAGGGACAUAGAAUUCCGGGUGGAGUGGUGAAAUGCGUAGAUAUCCGGAGGAAUACCAAAGGCGAAGGCAGUGUCCUGGCAAGUAACUGACGCUGAGGCGCGAAAGCUAGGGGAGCGAACAGG